rnacentral:lncRNA from 1 species
UUUAUUUUUUAAAGGUAUUGACUGCCACAUUAUUGGUGGAUAAGGAUCAACCAACACUAAUUUUAGCUUUUCUCAACUUCUUCGACACUUCAACAUGUGCGCGAAGGAUAACAUGUGGUUGAACCUAAUUGGAGGGUGUUCAUAUGGACGAUUUUUUUUGAAAGAUCGAAUGCACGAUCAAACUAUCUGAACACAACUACCCUGCCCCAGGUUAAGAUUAAGGGUUUUAGAUCCGAAAUAAACACCAACUUCUAGGCUCAAAGUGGUUGACUAGGGAUUAACUCCUUAUCACUUCAGUGUUUGGGGAUUUGAAACAAUG